rnacentral:antisense_RNA from 1 species
UUUGAUGGAGCCCAGCCACAGUGCCCGGUCCGGUCCUCGGGUCCGUCCGUAGGUGGCCAACAGCGCGUCGGCCUC